UACGGAGGAUGCGAGCGUUAUCCGGAUUUAUUGGGUUUAAAGGGUGCGUAGGCGGACUGUCAAGUCAGCGGUAAAAUUGAGAGGCUCAACCUCUUCCCGCCGUUGAAACUGGUGGUCUUGAGUGGAUGAGAAGUACGCGGAAUGCGUGGCGUAGCGGUGAAAUGCAUAGAUAUCACGCAGAACUCCGAUUGCGAAGGCAGCGUACCGGCAUCCAACUGACGCUGAGGCACGAAAGCGUGGGGAGCGAACAGG
rnacentral:rRNA from 1 species